rnacentral:rRNA from 1 species
UACGGGGGAUGCAAGCGUUGUUCGGAAUCACUGGGCUUAAAGCGCGUGUAGGCGGCUCGGUUAGUACCUUGUGAAAUCCCUCCUCUCAAUGGAGGAAUGGCUGGGUAUACUGCCGGGCUCGAGGGAGGUAGGGGUGCCUGGAACUCUAGGUGGAGCGGUGAAAUGCGUAGAUAUCUAGAGGAACGCCCGUGGCGAAAGCGGGGCACUGGGCCUUUCCUGACGCUGAGACGCGAAAGCGUGGGUAGCAAACGGG